AUUAUUGGACGGUUUGGAUUAUCAUCAGCACAGAAAAAUGCCUACUGCAGCUCUACUUCUCCACAACAACGAAGGCAUGCGAAUACACUACUGCGUCGAUUUAGGGACAAAAUUAUCCAAGCCUGGAGGCAUGAAGAAACACGUGAGAUGAUACUGAAUGUCUCUGCAAUGCUGGGUUUGGUUGCUGUCGUCGCCGUCGUCGGAUGCAUUAUGAAGCCCCACUUUGAGGCCCAGCUAGAGAAGCUUGCCCAAGCUUUUGUUUUAUUGUUUCUACUGGCUCUACUUCAAGCAAUGGUAGAAAUGCAAAAGGAACGACGGCAAAAGAGCCUAGAAGAUGAUCAUGCUGAUGAUUCUGAAGAGAGCAAGAAGAAGCUGAAGCCAACAAAAACUUAG
rnacentral:lncRNA from 1 species